UCGCCUGUUUAACAAAAACAUGUCUUUUUGAAUUUUUUUUAAAGUCUGACCUGCCCACUGAAAUUUUUUAAAUGGCCGCAGUAUACUAACUGUGCAAAGGUAGCAUAAUCAUUAGUCUUUUAAUUGAAGGCUGGUAUGAAUGGUUGGACGAGAUAUUAACUGUUUCAUAAUAAUUUAUAAUAGAAUUUUAUUUUUUAGUCAAAAAGCUAAAAUAUAUUUAAAAGACGAGAAGACCCUAUAAAUCUUUAUAUUUAGAUUAUUAUAAUUUUAUAGAUUUUUUUUAUUAUAAUAAUCAAUGAUAUUUUAUUGGGGUGAUAUUAAAAUUUAAUAAACUUUUAAUUGUUAAAAUCAUUAAUUUAUGAAUAAUUGAUCCGUUAUUAGCGAUUAAAAAAAUAAGUUACUUUAGGGAUAACAGCGUAAUUUUUUUGGAGAGUUCAUAUCGAUAAAAAAGAUUGCGACCUCGAUGUUGGAUUAAGAUAUAAUUUUAGGUGUAGCUGCUUAAAUUUUAAGUCUGUUCGACUUUUAAAUUCUUACGUGAUCUGAGUUCAGACCGGA
rnacentral:rRNA from 1 species